AUCGCUUCUCGGCCUUUUGGCUAAGAUCAAGUGAAGAAUGGAUUCUCUGAUUUCUUUUUUGUUUAUUUUCAAUUUAAGUAAAAUUGAUUGAGUGCCCAUAAUGUACAUGGGCUUUAAUUAUACACACUGAAAUUCAGGUAGAUCCCUGGCCUUAGUUGCCUUA
rnacentral:snRNA from 1 species